UUAACAAAUGGAAGCACGAAAAGUGGCUGGAGAACCUUUAUGAGGCUGGAGACCUAGAGCUGAAUCAGGGUGUUGACUGCAAGAUGAGGCAAAGGCAAAUAGGUGGAAUAACUGAAGAAUAACCCAGAAUGAGACAACAAAAGAGGAUUUUGAAAGGAUUUCCUUGCCUAUUAUCUGCUUUCUGAGAUGGCCAAACAAAACAGAGGAAAAUUACUGGGGAAUAACAAUUGUGUCAUCAUGACAAACAACUGACAUAGCUGAGGCCCGUUGAAGUCCCAGAGCAA
rnacentral:lncRNA from 1 species